ACGAACUAAUAUUCAUUCUCUUGUACUGCCAGGGUCGAGUUGCGUUAGAGAGAAACGAAAUUCAUUGUAGUCUCCCUUUAACAGUGUUCACUUUAAAAAUGUUAUGGUGAUGUGGCCGGUCUGCUCCAGUACCGCCCUCUGACUGGCGACGAAGAUGUUCUUAAGGAUGUUAAGAGCAUUGAAGGUAUCUGUCAGGAUACCGGAACCAGAAGAAGCAGUAGAAUCCAAAACGUCUGCAUGAUGUCUCUCAUUAAAUCCUUGUCUAGAAAUGUAUUUCCUUGGCCACACUAUGAUAUCCACUGGACCACAAUAAGAUAUCCGCUGGACCAAAAUAUUAUAUCUGCUAGGCCACAAUAAAAUAUCUGCUGAACCACAA